CGCGACACUUUUGGCGGUAGCCGGUCGACGUAAAAAUAGUCGAAUAGACGAAUCGGCUGCUUGAUCACAAAAUUUGAAAUUUUGUUGACGACAAUCGCUCCCUGAAAUGAUGGCUGAAAGUACAGAUGUACAAAAGGGACAGUUAGUAUUUGAUCAUCCUUCGGUUGAAACAGGACAAGGUUCGAUAAAUGCAGAGCAAUAUGAGGUCCAAAUUCGCGAUGGUAAUUCUCCAGCAGGCCAAGAGAGACAAGAGGGUGUCAGGCCAAAGGUCUUUACUGCUGAGCAUUUGGCAGAGAUCAAAAGAAAGUCUGAUAAAAUGGAAACGGACAAGUAUUUCGCAUUAAAAGUAAGUGAAGUUAAGA